UAGGGAAUCUUCGGCAAUGGACGAAAGUCUGACCGAGCAACGCCGCGUGAGUGAAGAAGGUUUUCGGAUCGUAAAACUCUGUUGUUCGAGAAGAACAAGGACGUUAGUAACUGAACGUCCCCUGACGGUAUCUAACCAGAAAGCCACGGCUAACUACGUGCCAGCAGCCGCGGUAAUACGUAGGUGGCAAGCGUUGUCCGGAUUUAUUGGGCGUAAAGCGAGCGCAGGCGGUUUCUUAAGUCUGAUGUGAAAGCCCCCGGCUCAACCGGGGAGGGUCAUUGGAAACUGGGAGACUUGAGUGCAGAAGAGGUGAGUGGAAUUCCAUAUGUAGCGGUGAAAUGCGUAGAUAUAUGGAGGAACACCAGUGGCGAAGGCGGCUCUCUGGUCUGUAACUGACGCUGAGGCUCGAAAGCGUGGGGAGCAAACAGG
rnacentral:rRNA from 1 species